rnacentral:rRNA from 1 species
UACGUAGGGGGGCAAGCGUUGUCCGGAUUUAUUGGGCGUAAAGAGCGUGUAGGCGGCUAUGCAGGUCCGUUGUGAAAAACUCGAGGCUCAACCUCGAGACGCCGAUGGAAACCGCAUGGCUAGAGUCCGGAAGAGGAGAGUGGAAUUCCUGGUGUAGCGGUGAAAUGCGCAGAUAUCAGGAGGAACACCGGUGGCGAAAGGCGGGGUCUCUGGGCAACAACUGACGCUGAGGAGCGAAAGCGUGGGGAGCGAACAGG